CUAAAGGUGACCCCAUGGAAAUUAGAGGU
rnacentral:piRNA from 1 species